rnacentral:rRNA from 1 species
AUCAACUUUCGAUGGUAGGAUAGAGGCCUACCNUGGUGGUAACGGGUAACGGGGUGUUAGGGCACGACACCGGAGAGGGAGCCUGAGAAACGGCUACCACAUCCAAGGAUGGCAGCAGGCGCGCAAAUUACCCAAUCCCGACAUGGGGAGGUAGUGACAAUAAAUAACAAUACGGGGUUCUUUCGGAUCUCGUAAUUGGAAUGAGUACAAUUUAAAUCUCUUAACGAGGAACAAUUGGAGGGCAAGUCUGGUACCAGCAGCCGCGGUAAUUCCAGCUCCAAUAGCGUAUAUUAAAGUUGUUGCAGUUAAAAAGCUCGUAGUUGAAUUUCGGGAUUAGCAGGUCGGUCGUGCCACUGGUACGUACUGGUCUUGCUGAUUCCUCCCUCUUGACGAGCCGUAAUGCCAUUAAUUUGGUGUUGCGGGGAAUCAGGACUGUUACUUUGAAAAAAUUAGAGUGUUUAAAGCAGGCAUGCGCUUGAAUACAUUAGCAUGGAAUAAUGAAAUAGGACGUUCGAUCUUAUUUUGUUGGUUUCUAGGAUUGACGUAAUGAUUAAUAGGGAUAGUUGGGGGCAUUAGUAUUCAAUUGUCAGAGGUGAAAUUCUUGGAUUUAUUGAAGACUAACUACUGCGAAAGCAUUUGCCGAGGAUGUUUUCAUUAAUCAAGAACGAAAGUUAGGGGAUCGAAGACGAUCAGAUACCGUCGUAGUCUUAACCAUAAACUAUGCCGACUAGGGAUCGGAUGAUGUUAAUUUUUUAAUGACUCAUUCGGCGCCUUACGGGAAACCAAAGUGUUUGGGUUC